GGUCUCACUAUGCAGUUCAGGUUGCCCUGAACUCACUUUGUAGCCCAGGCUGGCCUUGAACUCACAGCAAUCCUCCUGCCUCAGCCUUCCGAGUGCUGGGAUUACAGGUAUGUGCUACCAUGCC
rnacentral:miRNA from 1 species